UACGUAGGGUGCAAGCGUUAAUCGGAAUUACUGGGCGUAAAGCGUGCGCAGGCGGUUUUGUAAGUCUGUCGUGAAAGCCCCGGGCUCAACCUGGGAAUUGCGUUGGAGACUGCAAGGCUUGAAUCUGGCAGAGGGGGGUAGAAUUCCACGUGUAGCAGUGAAAUGCGUAGAGAUGUGGAGGAACACCGAUGGCGAAGGCAGC
rnacentral:rRNA from 1 species